rnacentral:rRNA from 1 species
UACGUAGGGGGCAAGCGUUAUCCGGAAUUACUGGGUGUAAAGGGAGCGUAGACGGUAAUGUAAGCCUGGAGUGAAAGGCGGGGGCCCAACCCCCGGACUGCUCUGGAAACUAUGUUACUAGAGUGCAGGAGAGGUAAGCGGAAUUCUUAGUGUAGCGGUGAAAUGCGUAGAUAUUAGGAGGAACACCAGUGGCGAAGGCGGCUUACUGGACUGUAACUGACGUUGAGGCUCGAAAGCGUGGGGAGCAAACAGG